rnacentral:rRNA from 1 species
UACAGAGGUCUCAAGCGUUGUUCGGAUUCAUUGGGCGUAAAGGGUGCGUAGGCGGCGCGGUAAGUCGGGUGUGAAAUCUUGGAGCUUAACUCCGAAACUGCAUUCGAUACUGCCGUGCUUGAGGACUGGAGAGGAGACUGGAAUUUACGGUGUAGCGGUGAAAUGCGCAGAUAUCAGGAGGAACACCGGUGGCGAAGGCGGGUCUCUGGGCCGGAACUGACGCUGAGGAGCGAAAGCGUGGGGAGCGAACAGG